AUGAACGCUGGCGGCGUGCCUAAUACAUGCAAGUCGAGCGAACAGAUGAGGGGCUUGCUCCUCUGACGUUAGCGGCGGACGGGUGAGUAACACGUGGAUAACCUACCUAUAAGACUGGGAUAACUUCGGGAAACCGGAGCUAAUACCGGAUAAUAUAUUGAACCGCAUGGUUCAAUAGUGAAAGACGGUUUUGCUGUCACUUAUAGAUGGAUCCGCGCCGCAUUAGCUAGUUGGUAAGGUAACGGCUUACCAAGGCAACGAUGCGUAGCCGACCUGAGAGGGUGAUCGGCCACACUGGAACUGAGACACGGUCCAGACUCCUACGGGAGGCAGCAGUAGGGAAUCUUCCGCAAUGGGCGAAAGCCUGACGGAGCAACGCCGCGUGAGUGAUGAAGGUCUUCGGAUCGUAAAACUCUGUUAUUAGGGAAGAACAAAUGUGUAAGUAACUAUGCACGUCUUGACGGUACCUAAUCAGAAAGCCACGGCUAACUACGUG
rnacentral:rRNA from 1 species